UCAGCGUGACAGGGGCCAUUUGGGCUGUGAGCAGCAGACAGGGCCCAUCGCGCGGAGCAGGCAAGGACUCGCGACUCAUGGCGACGCGGAGUUGCAGGCGGCGGCCGGCGGCGCGACUCCGCAGCAGGGCGUCAGUGCGCGAGACAUCGAGGCGCCUGGGUUCUCCAGGGAGCAGGAGAGCAGCGGCAACCCUCCACUUCCGCCGUGAGUUCUAAAUCCCCCUUUUCCAGACAAGCAUCCCGUUGAGAUAUGUCUGAGUUUACCGAUUGGUGAAUUGGUUGAUGAUGUAAAUCAGUAUGUACUUGAUUUUGGGUUACUUCUACUUCGCAUGAACAAGAUUCAGUCAGAAGGAGAUAGACAUAUUGCAUCGGGGCAUAAUUUCCUGGCAACACAGAUUGGAGGCUUCUGUGUGGUGGGUUCCUUGCUUGGGGUGGUGAAAGAGAUUGAUAUGGUUGCUUUCAGGAAUAUGGAUGUGAUCAGGGUCAGAGUUGGGGUUAUGGAUUAUAUGAAGAUUCCUAGCAUGGCUCUUUUGGCAGUAGAUCCUUUUGUGUACAAGAUCAGAUUUGUAGUUGAGCAGAUUCUGGAGAUUGGGUGUCCUAUGGUUGGAGGGGUACUGGUACCAAGAGCACCUGAUGAGAGUGGCAGUAACAGGAGGAUAACUGAGAUGAACAGAGACCCAAAAAGACCUAGAAGUGUUGAAGUUGUUGGGCAUGUAGGUACUUCAAGCGGUGGGAGUGAUAUGGUUAUGUCCAGCCAGCCUGAAGGUAAGGGAGAUGUGGGCAACAGGAAACUUCUACCAUUGGAGACAAAUCUGCUGUUCAAGCUAACAAUGUUAGAUUUGCUGCUGAUGCUGAGAUGAUUGAGCAAGUUAACUUUACUGAGAGUGAAGAGGAGGUGCUUGCUAUCCUCCCAGGGAGAAGGCAUGCUUGAACCGGGAGAAGGGCAUAUCCUCUGCUUUCGUGUCUUUGUCUCUACGUGCUAAAUAUCAUUUGUUGUCCCGAUGCUUCCAAUUCCUAACUUUUUUCUUCUAUAGUUUUACCACUCCUUUAUUUACACCGUACGUAUGUGCACAUGACAGUAAUUGAGGGAAGAGAGAAAGGAAGACAGCAAAAUCUUGCUAAACUGCGCUAUAUUCGAAGUGUGAUAUUCAGUAACUAUCUCACGAUCCUUUUACCUGCCAUCGUCUAUCCGAAUUGCUCGCAUAUGGGAACUGGCUGGGCAUGGGUACUCUUAUAUACAGCUUUGAUGUGGAGCUACCUUUUGUGCAUAACUUUGAUAAAGUGUGUACGCAGGAGUUAACAUAUUCAAUUCUCUCUUUUUCAAAAAAAAGAAAAGAAAAAGAAACCGGUACAGUUUCUAUCUAAUUCAUAUCUCUGGAUUUCUUACAAAUCGUUGUCAUUAUAUCCUCCUAUCUAGCAGUACGUAGUGUGUUGUCUGGUUUUUCCCCUCAAAAAAGAAAAAGGAUCAACCACCCGCGCAUUUGCAUGACUAGAUUUGCUAUAAUUGUGUUGUUUUCGUGUAGUUGUCAUAUUAGAGAUGUUGGUAGCCCUUUCCUAGUCAUUUUUUUUGAGGUCUCAAUGUCGUACAGUAUGAUCAGCAGAGAUGUGCGCAUCAGCUUGUGGACGUCCGCUCGGCUUGGUUUUCUUUCCGUUAUUAUUAUUUGAGUUCGAUUUGUAUGAAACCAAACAGCUCAAGCACAAAAAAAAUAAAAAUACAAACAAAGAGUUGUACUUCGUCAGGUUCAUGCAUGGAAAGAUGUGAUCGAACCUUAAUUGUAUUGUUUGAUAUAUUUGAUCGGACCAUCGUUGGGUAUAUAUAGAGUAGAAAACAGAUAUAGACUUAGAGUACAAGAUAAGUACUUGGCUCUAAUUCUAACCUAAUUGUAUGUCUAACAAGGCAGACUCAGUUGUCCGAAAGCAAUCAGAAUGGAAAUAAAAAAUGAAACAAGUUGUUUUCGAACAAAUCCUCCUAUUACAACUUGCGAGGAUUUUUUCUUUUGAGAGAAAACAAUAGAUCAAUGAUCUACUGCAAAUGUAUUGAAAACAAAGUCCAAAAAAGUUGCGAAUAUGACCUAACUUGCGAGGAAUUGCAGGAUACAAAGUUCUAUUGCGAUUCAUUCACAUGCCAGAUUGAUUUUCCAUGGAGGCUUUUGUGUUUCUGGUGCCCCCAACUCCCAUGUGUAUAGUCCUUUUGUUCUCUAUAGGUUCCUUAGACACGUGCACAUGUUUCAUAUGUAAACCAAUGAAACAAAUGCAUGGUAUGCUUGGACUAUGUAGCAUCCGCUCUCGAUCCGUAUAGAGCUCAAAGUGAGGAAUAGCUUGUAGUUGCACGAGGUAUAUAUGGUACUUGAAAAUGUACGCAGAAGCAUGAGUGCCGGUCCGGACAGUCAGUAUCUUGGGAUGAUAUAAAUGCCAAUUGAUAUGGUGUGUACCUGCACCUUUGUUCAUUAGCAAUUUUGCGGAUGUCAACAUGAUUAUUAAGUUAGUGAGUUUUUGACCAUUAAUUUAUUUAGAAUAUGUUCCAUCAGGUAACAUGAUAAAAUUACACGGAACAACCACUUUUGGAAUUUUGACCAUUUAAAAAGAAGGAAAGAAGAGUGGCCACGUGAAAUAGAUAGUUUAAGGCACUCUUAAACCAUUCUUGAAGAUCAUACAAGUUUCUUAAACUAAUCUUUCUGAUGACUCUUUCCUUCAUUGAGAAAAUGAAAUGUCUAGUGCUUCUGAUGUCUCCAACUCCCAAAACAUACAAAUAAAAAAAUUAACCAAUCUUUUGUGACGGCUCUUUUCUUUCGGAAGUCCCUUAUUCCUAGGUUGGUUUCUCGUUUUGUAUUAUUAACUGAGUUCUGUAAGAAACCAAAUAGCUCAACCGCAAACAAAGCAUACCAAUAAAGAGGUUCUAUAUUACAAAGGUUCAUUUUGUUCAGUCGACUAAGCUCUCUGGAGACAGACAAAAUGAAAACUGAAGCGAAACAAAUUAUUUUGUAACCAGUCUUCCUUUUACAGCUUCUGCUAGUACCUGAAAUGGUAGUUCUGUUGCGCUUCAUUCACAUGCCUGAUUUAAUUUUUAGUGAGGCUUUUGUGUUUCUGGUGCCCCCAACUCCCAUGUGUGUGACUCUCUAUAGGUGCCUUAUGCGCUUGCAUAUGUUUCACAUGUAAACCGAUGAAGGAGAUGCAUGCUAUUUGUAUGGACUACGUAGCAUUCACUCUCCAUAUAUAGAGCUCGAAAUGAGGAAUACUUUGUAGUAACACGAGGUAUAUAUGAUACUUGAGAAUGUACGCACAAACAUGAGUGACGGUCCGGACAAUGAGUAUGUUGGGAUGAUAUAAAUGCCAAUCGACAUGCUGUGUACCUGCACCUGUGUCAAUAAGCAAUUUUGCGGAUGUCAGCCUGAUUAUUCAGUUAGUAAAAUUUUGACCAUUAAUUUAUUUAGAAUAUGUUCCAUCAAGUAAGAAACAUGAUAAAAUUACACGGAACAACAACUUUUGGAAUUUUGACCAUUAAACAGUGCUCCGAGAAUGGCCUUAUCUUGCCGCAUAACCUAAGAGAAAUGAAAAAAAAAUGGAAUUCUAUUGGAGAUCUCAUUCUAUUGCCGCUCAAAGGUGGGAGUGAAACUAGCCUCCGGAUGGCAAUGCGUACCCGAUACCCGUAUACCCGACGUGUAUUUACCCGAAUAAGAUGUGGGUUUGGUAAAAAAAAUAUCCGCGGGUAUGUAAAUGGUAAAAUUCUGUACCCGACGGGUAUGACGCGUACGGGUAUGGUAUUGGACUACCCGAACCCGCCUACCCGUCUACCCGCACCUGCAGUUCUCAGCCCAGUACAAAAAGCCCGCUAACUCUUGGCCCAACCCAAAUAUGUCUCUGUAUAUAAACUGCCCGAAACACAAACCUAACCCUAAUUCCCCUCUCCAGUCCCCACUCUCCACGACUCCACCCGGCCCCCUACCUAGCAUCCGCCACCGCCUAGCACCUAGCUUCCUCCCCGCCGCCGCCUAGCUUCCUCCCCGCCGCCUAGCUUCUCCAGUGCGCCUCCGCCAUCCGGCCGGCUGCCGGCGAGAUGGACAGCGAGCACGCGACUCCGACGCCGACGCCGACGCCAAGCCAAUCGCCGGAGCCCUCUGACUUCGGAAAUCGCGAGGACGCGUUUACCCUGACUCCCAGUACAUCCCCUUCACCGGAGCCGGGCCAGCCGGCUGCACCUUGCUCCUUCUGUCCCCGGCCACCGGUGCCACUGCCACCACCGGGAUCUGGCCAGCGGUUGGGGUAUCUCCUCGGAGUUCGACCGAGCUCCAGCAAGCGGCAAGGAGUCGGCUCAAGCGUGUCUUUUCCACCACGUGUGAAAACCUGCCGGCGUGGUGGCGGGGGCCAAAACAAAGAGACGUCCCAGCCCCCUUGGUGGCGGUGACGGCAGAAGCGCUGCCAAGAACAGUGACAAGGGGAGCAUCUAAAAACCUGUACUCUGAAGAUGUUGAAGACAAAGGGUGUGAAAACCUUGAAUCAAGCAUCACUGAGGAUGAAUGCUCAAGAGGAUUUGAAGGUGGCUGUGGAGAACUACAUUUUUUAUCAAGAGGUGUCUAGAGAAGAGCUGGGUAACAUGCUGGUUCUGCAUGACUACCCAUUGUCAAUUGUAGACCAUGCUGGCUUUAGGAGGUUUGUAGCUGCACUCCAGCCACUUUUCAAGCUACAUACAAGAAAUACCAUCAGUUGCUGGCACACGAUAUCCAACAUUAAGGAAGGUUGCAAGAGAUAUAUUUGCUAUUCCAGUAACAACGGUUGCUUCUGAAUUUGCAUUUAGUACAAGUGGAAGGAUAGUCAACGAACAUAGGAGCCGCCUCACCUCUCUUAUGCUUGAAACAUUGAUGUGCUCUCAAGAUUGGCUUAGGAACAAAUUAAAAGAUGCUCGUACAAGUGAAACAAGUUUCUGGACUUGUCUUCAAGACAUCCAAGAAGGAAAUCAGGACUUGGUUGAUUGAGUUGGAGGUUUUGGAGCUGGGCUGUUGUUUUCUGCUGCUGGAAGCUGCAGUUUUCUGCUGUUUAACCGCUGAAAAGUGCUGUUUUGAAGUUUCAGCGGGUCGGGUAAAAAUACCCGCGGGUAACCCGUACCCACCACGGGUACGGGUACGGGUAACGGUUGAGGGUCGGGUCGUCGGGUAUGGGUAUGGUUGAGCUAUACCCGUACCCGAACCCGUCGGGUGCCAUCCGGAAACUAGCCCAAUAACACUGUUUCAGCCUGCACCAAAACCUACGAUUAAACGUGAUGGCCCAGGGCCCAACUCGUGAUUGAAAUCGCCGACGUCUCAGCGUGACGAGGGCCGUCUUGGCUGAGAGGGACCAUAUCGUGGACUUGCCGGUGGCGGCCCGCCGGCGAACCUCCGGCAAUUCCGCUGCAGACCGGGCGAUGGGUCCUCCUGGGUGCAGUAGAGCAGCGGACUUGCGGCAAUAAAUCCCCCUUUUCCCAACAAGCAAGCCCUGAGAACUGAGAAACAGAGAGAUGAAUACGAGGACGAAUGCUGAUUUCAGAAAUUUGUUGAUUCCGGGUUACUUUCCCUUCACAUGAUCCUGGGAAGAGGACUCGCAUCUCAAGUUUUGAUGUCAAUGAACAGGAUCCAGUCAGAAAGGGAUAGAUAUAUUGCAUGGGGGCCAUGUCAACAUUGGAACCAUAAUUUUCUGGCGACACAGAUUGGAGGAUGGGCCACGCGUGCAAUGGCAGCAGGGAUAGGUGAUGCGUGUGGGUGUGCAGCUGAGUUGAUUGGGCAAGGAGAAAAAAGUUCAACUAGCAACAGACUGCAAAUAGUGUCCAUGCAAAAAGCCCUAAACCAGAGGUUACAGGAGGAGAAAAAAGUAGGACGUGGGAGGGGGUUUCUGCAAAAUAGCGUUUAAGUGAUGGGGUGGAUUCCUGCAUCUGAUCUGGACCACACCUUCGAGAUCCAACGGUGGACGGACGAAGUUUGCACCCAUUGAAGGUCUUCACUGGAUAGGUCGCCUUCCCUAAAAGACAUAGUUAGUAUGUUUUGUUGUCCCGGUGCCUCCAAGUCCCAGACAUGCUUAAUUUUGAGCUUGCAGCUUGCUCCUCUCUAAUGAAAUAAUAUAUACAAGCUAUAUACAAGCUUAUGGUUAAAACACAGGUUCAAGACGGGAGCAGUGUAGUAGCAAAAGUAUUCUGUGUUCACUCCCUAGUUCACAGUUCUUUUGCCAUUAAUAUCGUGUCCCUAGCUAGAGCAGAGCUUGCUCGUAUUUGGAAGACUUUCUCGGUCGCACACCAAUGCCAGAGCUCGUGCAAGAAGAGAGCUUUGCUGCUGUUUGUGUAUAUAUACAACUGGGUUUGUGAGUCUUGUACCACAGUGCCCACAUGUAUGUACAGAAGUGUUUUAAUCUAAGCAUUGGAGUGGACUGAACACAUUUAUUUCCCUUGUGCUUCUGAGUACACGAGCUCAUUUCAUUCAGACAAUUCGCUUAGAAUCAUUUUGUCCUCUGCUAUCUGCUACUCCACGAUAUGCGAGUACUGUAGUAGUAUUUUAACUUGGGUUAACAACAGGGUGUUAAUUAGAAAGUUUAAAUUUGACAUUUGAUUCUGGCAAUAACGGGGAAUGCCCUUUCAUGUCAUUCUCAUGCGUCAUAUUGGAAUCUGUCAUAGAAGAUAGAACAGGCCUAUUAUGUUGUUUACAUAAGAAGGGAAAUGUGUGCAUAUAUUCACUAUGUAGUUAUUCAUUUCUCAUGCUUUUCACAUCACAAAGAUGAGCUUUUAUAUUCAUCUGAUUUCGCAAUGGCAUUACACAUACUGGACAACCUCAAAGCAUGUGCAUAGCAUAUAUGCCCCGAUGCCUGAUGCGAUUAGUCCAAACAAUGGAUGCAUCAGCUUGUUGAUUUAGCGGAAACCAACUCGUGUUGUUCACAAAUCAGGCAAUAUGCAACGUGAAUCAACCUUUCUAACAGUUUGGGUUAAAUACUUAAAUCGUGAAUCAACUGGUUCACAUUGUCCACCUUCAACACUUUCACACAUGCAGUACAUGACGAGUUCAACGGUGGCGGGUAGCCAGGAGAAUGAAAUGUCAUUGCUGGCGCAAAUGCAGGAAUGCCACGUGCUACUCCACGUGAGGUUCAAUGAGUUAAACUAGCUAUCAUGGCAUCCGUAAUUGAAUCAAUUUGCAUUCUGUGUUAUGCAAGCGUUACAGCUGGGUACUACGAAUAUUAGAUAUAUUUUUGGCAGCAUGGAAAGACACAGAUAGGGGAUUCUGCUUCCAGAGUGUGGCAAUGCUGUUGUGUUUGAAGUUUUUCAAUGAUGUAGCCUACCAAUUCAGGUAUAUUACAUACGUUGUAGCAAUCAGACACAUUUUUCCUCUUAAAUUUUUUCUCU